AUGAUUCAACAAUCUCAACAACAAACAACAACCGCAAAUUCAAAAGAAAAGAAAUCAGAUUGCAUCCGAGCCCAAUCACACAACGCCUCACUACGCCGCAAAGCCGCUCCCUCUUCAAUCACGCUGGAACAGAAGCAUAUAGCAACAUACCGAGCAGUCGCCGACAUCGCAAUCCCGCGUGGCCGCUUAACAUCGAACUUGUCCAGCAGCGUGCAUCAUCUAACCUCCAUCUGCAAUUCACCACCACCUUGUAGAUCGCGGAACCGUCACUCUCUAAUCCGGCAGCCGGGGAAUUUUCAAAUUGGUAACCUAUCACUUUUCUUACUUUCAUUGUUUGAAUAG